rnacentral:tRNA from 1 species
UAGCUCAGUGGGCAGAGCACUUGUCUAACAUGCAGGAAGCCCUGGGUUCUCUCCCCAG